rnacentral:lncRNA from 1 species
UUAACAAAACAGGUGAAAACAAAAAAUCGAAAAUUUUUUAAAAACUCGCGUUUUUCGACCUGCAUCUCCCCUUAAGUACACUUCUCUGAUUAAUACAGU